UGGAAAUGGAUAUGUUUUAGAGGCAAAAUCUUAUAUAUGGGCUAAAGGUCGAGAGACAGAACAUUGAGUCAAUCCAAAGGAUGAGUUAAAAAUAUUCCAACAUAUUUUAGUCUCAAACAUUGCAAAUUUGGUUUAGUAACAGAGGAUUAACUAUAUGUUAACCUCAAAUCAUCAACUGAAAAAGUAGGACACUACAAAUUACAUCAAUUAAACAUUCAAACUAAAGCAUAUUAAACAACUCAAAUAAACAACAAAUCAGAAUAUAACUCAAAUCGUAGUUAACUUGUACUGUUAUGGACUAACAUGUAAACCCAGACAACUAGAUACCAAAUCAAAAUCUCAAACAGCCCUUCCAGGGCUUCUACCUACUGUAAGAAAAUUAAGAUAGAAUAGUGGAAAACAAACCCGUUGAGCAAAAUCCUUUAAUAAUAACAGAAUGUAGUCAACAAAUACAAGCUUGAGUUCAAAUCCACUCUAAGAGAAAACUCGGAAAUCAGGAAGUCGAUGGCAACAAAACAUAGCAAAACAUGAGGAGCUCAGCAUCAUGAAUCCACCAGAAAAUCAGCAACAACAAAUCAACAAAUUUGAACCUCUACAGCUUGUGAAAAUCCAGAAAAAAGAAUUCAUCUCUGAAAUUGUAUUUCUUCAAAUCUUUAUCGAAAAAUUCAGUUUUCUUUCUAUUAUUUCUAGCUUUUGAUUUUCAGAUCUUUAGCUAAAAAACCAACAUUGUUUCAACUGGGUUUGGGCAGUAAUUUCCGGUAGUUUGUUUGAAGGGGAGUGGCUGAUUUUUGUCCCUCUCGAUUGCUGCUCGUUUUUAGCGCUGAAGUAACAACUUUUCAUGGCUGAAACGGGCUAGGAUGGGAGAUGAAGAAGGAUAUGGCUGCUUUUCACUGAGGAAGAGCUGAGCUCUGGAACGCCGUUGCUCAUUUUUGUCGAGGAGAGAGUCUCUUUCUCUGUUGAAAAUGAGAGAUGGUGAGAGAGAGAGAGAGCAGUCCCCUCUCUUUUGAGGUAAUGGCGUUGUCUCCAUGAAGAUAGGGGGGUCCGAUUAUUUUUGUUCUAGGUCUUCUGAUCUUUGGUCCAGGGAUUUAAGGGAAAAUUGGGGAAAGGGAAGAUUGGGCUAGGAUUUAAAAGUUAAUGGGCUAUUUUAGGGAUUAGCCCAAUUUUAAAAGAAACAAGACCAAAAAUAUAUUCUUCCUAUUAUUAUUUUCUUUGUUUUUUCCUUUUUUUAUUUUUCUUUGAUUUUAAAUUCUAAUUAAAUUAAUUAAGAUCCUAAAUCAAUCUAUUUUUGUAGAAAUGAAAAUUCUUUACUUAUUUUUAAUAUUAAAACGACUAAUUAACUUAAAACUAAAGAAAAAUGCUAAUUUUAAAGAUUAAAAUCUAAAUAUGUAAAAAUGAUCAUUUUUUGUGAUCUUGGCUUAAUAAAAUUAAUUUCUAGAUGCAAAUUGAACCUAAUAUGGCAUGAAAUUAAAAUAUGAUAAUUAUUUAUGGGUUUUCGAUGAUUUUAAAAUAUUAAAAAUGCAUAAAACGCAACUAAAUAAAGAAAAACUCCUAAAAUCAAUUAAAGUUAUUUCUAGCUUUUGAUUUUCAGAUCUUCAGCUAAAAAAACAACACUAUUUCAACUGGGUUUGGGAGGUAAUUUCUGGCAGUUUUUUUGAAGGGGAGUGGCCGAAUUUUGUCCCUCUCGGUUGCUGCUCGUUUUUAGAGCUGAAGUAAUAGCUUUUCACGGCUGAAACGAGCUGGGAUGGGAGAUGAAGAAGGAGAUGCCUGCUUUUUGCUGAGGAAAAGCUGAGCUCUCGAACGCCGUUGCUCGUUUUUGUCGAGGAGAGGGUCUCUUUCUCUGUUGAAAAUGAGAGAUGGUGAGAGAGAGCAGUCCCCUCUCUUU
rnacentral:lncRNA from 1 species